rnacentral:misc_RNA from 1 species
AAGACUAUAGACCUGCGGAGUACCUGCGGAAGGAUCAUUAACAAAAUCCAUCAUUCGAUGACCCUACCUUGUGUGCACCUGUAAAAAAAAACUGCCCUUUGGAGUAAAGGUUUGGCACCGGCUCAACGCUCGAGCCCUUCUCGAGCGCGCCAGCCUUUUUCCAAAGGGUUUUUUAUAAACGUCUUUUUGAACAAAUAAAAAAUUUUUAAACCAAUAAACACAACUUUUAACAAUGGAUCU